GCUGCCUUAGCUCAGUAGGUAGAGCGCGUCCUUGGUAAGGACGAGGUCAGCGGUUCAAAUCCGCCAGGCAGCU
rnacentral:tRNA from 1 species